rnacentral:tRNA from 1 species
GGGAAUGUGGCUCAGUGGUAGAGUGCUUGCUUAACAUGCAUGAAGCCCUGGGUUUGAUUCCUCAGUACCA